AAUUGUGAUUGACAACAAUGUUCUGGCCACUGGAACAUCUCUGGGCACAGUGUUCACCUCUGUCACCUCUGUGCUGCCAAAGCUAGGUCCCGCUAUGCCCCACAGGCUGCCUGCACCCAGACUGAGCAUCGUGCCCGCCCAAACCUGCCCAGGGGACAGAAGAUUUAAAAAGAAAAUGGAGAGGGAAGAAAACCAAAGUCAGAUGGCAACAGUAAAAGCUCAUCUGCUGCUUUUCAGCGGCUGCUCUGCCACACAGGGUCAAAGAAAAACACUUCUAUUAAACCCCAGAAUUGUUCCUACAACAGACUGCAGAUUUCUGAGGCCAUUACGGAAUACUAAAGCUCCUGGCUCUUUGCUGACUCGCCCAGGAAGAUUUCCAUCCUCUUCCCCACAUCUGUACGCUUCCCAGAGAAGCAGCUGCCACUCCCAGCAAGGGCUGUGAUCCCCAAGAGAUGGAUUCCAUUCGCUUCAGUUUGAGCAGCGCCAGCUCCAUGUGAUCCCCUUCACCCCACGGUUCCUGCCUGCAGAUACUGCAGCAUCCCGACACAGGACUUUGUGCUGCACCUUCCCCACCUCACAGCCCAGAUUUAACACCUCCACUUCAAGCCUACCGUUGUGACUCUUUCCCCCCCCCUGCCUUUUCUUCUCUCUUUUUUUUCUCCUACAGAUUUAGUGAAACUUCUCUCAGGCCUGAUUUCUCAGUAGUGCAUACAAAUCACUCUCCCUGGGAAAAGGUUUUCAGAGUCGCUCCCUCAAGUCAAUCUUCCUACAGCUAAAAUAUCCUGUAAUCGAAGGUCUUGGCUUCUCACAUGUCUGCUCUAAAGGAGUAUUUCCAGGUGGGCUGUCUCAUGAGCUGCCUUGCAUGCCCUCUGUAAAAGCUCUGCUUAACCCUCCUGGCAGUUCGCAGAGGAUCCGUAUUAUUUUCAGCUCAUGCCUUAACCUCAUUCUGAAGCAGCAAAGUUUUUAAAAUAAUGAUAUAGAAGGAAAAGCAGAGUGACCCUUCCGGCACCUACCCUGCCAAAGGCUCCCGAGAAGGACCAAACACACAGCACCCACUGACGCACAGCCAGCGGCUGCAGGGUGCUGUUCCUGCAGCACCACACGCGCUCUGCCCCACCACACCAUCAAGGGCUCCUAACAGAAGGGGACUUCGGGACAUUUGCUCCUCUCCAGCUCUUUGCUAAAUGCUUUUCUAAAGGCACAGCUUGGGGAAGCAGCCCCCAAAGCAGAGCAGCACGUGAAGCCGGCGAAACCACAUCCUCGCCGCUGCAGGAAGACUUCUCAGCUCCUUGCUGCAUCUACUUAGCACGUAGAAAGCAAAAAGAAACAAGAGAACACAGGCAUAUGGAGGCCCUGUUAAACCUGAACUAAAUAUACUGUGGGAUGCUGACAGCCUGCCUCGACUUGCUGGAGCUUCAGCCAUGUGGCAGGACCCCGACCGCUGGCUUCAUUGGGUAGCUGAAAGGGUUUUCCACAGAGCAAACAUGGGAAACCUCCCAGAUCCCACUCCACACGGGCUGUGAGUGCUGCUGCCAGCACGGCAUUGCCCUGAAGUGUUGCUGGCAGCAUCCACAAAGCAGAGACACAAGGAACAGCCUUGCCUGGCAGCAUCUCUAGCAAUGCUCCAUCUUCCCUAGUGCUUGUAGAAGAUGAUUCCCUGCAGCACCCAAGCACUCCAGGUGGGGAGCAGCACCGGGACCAGCCAAGGACAUCUGUGCUUGUGAGCUGUGCAGCACACCGAGGGUAGGGAAGCACCCAUCAUCAACUGGGUGGAUCUCUGGGGAAGGAAGAUGGGAACCUUCAAGAUCAAGAGAGUGAGAGAUGAGGCUGGAGCAGCAGGAAGGAGAGGGCCCCAGCGGAGUGGUGAAGUCAUGAAUAAAUGCAAGUAAACUGAGCUUAUCCUCUCUUAUUUUGAGCAUUGGAGUUUACUCACCUCAUGCUGCUUCAGCUGGAACACCAAAAGCAGGAGUCCCAAUUAACGUGCUGGAUAAUCAUUCAAGGAGAACUGGAGUUUUGCGGCUGCGGCGAGGCGAGGCAACAGCGUCAGGGUACCAGGAGAUGGGCACGGAGCAAGCUCACACUCAGAUGCCACUGCCAGCCUCGCAUCCUCUCCAAAUCACAGACGGGCCGCUGGGGAACGGGGACAGCGCUCUCCCCGCAGUACUGACACGCAAACUGAGGUCCCUGAGGACCCAACGCGUUGGAGAUGCAACAGCUCCAGGAAAACCCACAUGGUGAGGGCGACCACACUGGCACCUAGUAAAGCACCAAACUGCCUUUGCAUGCACCUUCCCAAAGGGAAUUAAAGAAACCC